ensembl:snRNA U2 U2 spliceosomal RNA
AUCGCCUCGGCCUUUUGGCUAAGAUCAAGUGUAGUAUCUGUUCUUAUCAGUUUAAUAUCUGAUCGCCCCGAUUCGGGGCAACGACAAACGCAUUUUUAGAACAGGGAGCUGAAUAAGGGGCUCGCUCCGUUCGCUCCACGCAUCGACCCGGUAUUGCAGCGCCCGGGAACGGUGCCCCUUUG